rnacentral:rRNA from 1 species
AGAGUUUGAUCAUGGCUCAGGACGAACGCUGGCGGCGUGCCUAAUACAUGCAAGUAGAACGCUGAAGAGAGGAGCUUGCUCUUCUUGAAUGAGUUGCGAACGGGUGAGUAACGCGUAGGUAACCUGCCUUGUAGCGGGGGAUAACUAUUGGAAACGAUAGCUAAUACCGCAUAACAAUGGGUGACACAUGUCAUUUAUUUGAAAGGGGCAAUUGCUCCACUACAAGAUGGACCUGCGUUGUAUUAGCUAGUAGGUGAGGUAACGGCUCACCUAGGCGACGAUACAUAGCCGACCUGAGAGGGUGAUCGGCCACACUGGGACUGAGACACGGCCCAGACUCCUACGGGAGGCAGCAGUAGGGAAUCUUCGGCAAUGGGGGCAACCCUGACCGAGCAACGCCGCGUGAGUGAAGAAGGUUUUCGGAUCGUAAAGCUCUGUUGUAAGUCAAGAACGAGUGUGAGAGUGGAAAGUUCACACUGUGACGGUAGCUUACCAGAAAGGGACGGCUAACUACGUGCCAGCAGCCGCGGUAAUACGUAGGUCCCGAGCGUUGUCCGGAUUUAUUGGGCGUAAAGCGAGCGCAGGCGGUUUGAUAAGUCUGAAGUUAAAGGCUGUGGCUCAACCAUAGUUCGCUUUGGAAACUGUCAAACUUGAGUGCAGAAGGGGAGAGUGGAAUUCCAUGUGUAGCGGUGAAAUGCGUAGAUAUAUGGAGGAACACCGGUGGCGAAAGCGGCUCUCUGGUCUGUAACUGACGCUGAGGCUCGAAAGCGUGGGGAGCGAACAGGAUUAGAUACCCUGGUAGUCCACGCCGUAAACGAUGAGUGCUAGGUGUUGGAUCCUUUCCGGGAUUCAGUGCCGCAGCUAACGCAUUAAGCACUCCGCCUGGGGAGUACGACCGCAAGGUUGAAACUCAAAGGAAUUGACGGGGGCCCGCACAAG